rnacentral:lncRNA from 1 species
GAAAUGGUCUGUGCCUGAAGAACUAUCACAGAUUGUAAAUUCCAGGGGAUAAAGUGUUGGAAUACAUCCCAAACUGGAAUGGUAAAGGAGCAAGCACUGAAUGACAGUACUUGGGUAGUUGGCUUCCUUUUUAAAAAUCUGAAUUUUUAGCAUUUGGAGGAAAAGUUACUUGCAAUUCUGCAACAAUUAAUUUCGGAAAAGUAAGCUAAUGGGAAGCCUUGAACCUGCUCUGACCUGUCAGAAGCACUGUCUCCUGGAAUGACCCAGCUCUGCCCAGGUGGCUGUUCAGGCUGUUACACAAAGGAGAGGCAUUGGCAGAGUAUUUUUCAGGAGUGGUAACAAUUUCUUCUGAAAGAUCUCCAGGAAAUGGUCAGAGUGACAAAUCUUACAUGAGUCCACAGAUUAGUCAGUGAAAAGAUGGAAAAAUCAAGUAAAUUAUUACUUGGCCAAGGUAAGUGC